UGUAUCCUACGGACCCACAAUCUGGACUUAUGCCGGGCCGCCAUGAGACGUAUCAGGACCUGGACACGUCGCGGUAUGGUGGCCCCCAGUGGUGUCCAGCGGGCCUUGGAUGGGGAGAGGUUUCUGGAUUGUAUCAGGAUCAAGAAAUGCCAGCCAUGUCAUCGCUAUGACCUUGGUAUGUGUGAUGGGCUAUUCUUUUAUAUAUCAAAUACACCUAUCCCCCGAUUUACACGUUUUUCUCAGGAACGUAUCUACCGUGUAAAUCGGGGGAUAGGUGUACUUUUUUAAAUUAUUAUUAUUAUUUUUUAAUUUUAUAAAAUUCUAUGGUUAAUUUAGGGGAGAUACUAAAAAGUAUCUCUUCAAAAACCCUAAUAGUUAUACCUGUUGUAAUUUUAUUAUCAAUUAAAUUUUAAAAUGCGCUUGAAAUGACUAAUUUUACAUUUUAAAUAAUUAUUAAUAAAGUAAUAAGUUUAUUUUGGGAUUAAAUAUAUAUUUCAAAAAUAGCUUUAGUUAAUUUUUGUUUUAAGGGGUUAAAUAGUUUAAAAUAUCGUUCAUAGAUGGCGGUAGAGGUCUUGACCCAAUCAAAUACAAGACUAUAAUUUAUGAAACAAACACAAAUCACUGAAUAUGCAUUUUUGAAAAUGCUUUAUAUCGUAAAAUAUAUAUAUUUAAAAUACAAAGAUAUUAUUUAUUGUAAAUGUUAAAAAAAAAAAACAUUAUUUAACAAUAAAAUAUAAAUAGUUAAAAAUAAUCUCACUAGAUGGCGUUGUAGAAGGUUUAGUCUUUAAAUUAAAUUUUGAAGUAGUUUUAUUAUAUAAACGUUAUUAUUUUAAAUAUAUUAGCAAAUUUUUUAAAAUAUUAAUUUAUUUUAUAUAUUUAUUUUUAAACUAUCUUCUCAAUCUCUUUAACUACCCUUUUGAUAAUAUUUCUAAAUGGAAUGAAUUGAAAAAAAUCGUUUCGAUUCUUCGUGCCUUAAACUAAUGAGUAAGGAAAAUAACGAGCCUUGGUAACGCUAGGCUCUCACAAAAACUUUUUGUGAUUUAUUUUUGGAGAGGCACAGGUCUUCCUAAGGUUGCCGGCCUACUUUCGCUGGUGACCUUGGUGGCGGGAACUGCCUCCAAUAAAUAACUAAAAAAAGAAAACCUUAAUAACCACCUAUC